rnacentral:rRNA from 1 species
UACGUAGGGUGCGAGCGUUGUCCGGAAUUAUUGGGCGUAAAGAGCUUGUAGGCGGUUUGUCGCGUCUGCUGUGAAAAUCCGGGGCUCAACCCCGGACUUGCAGUGGGUACGGGCAGACUAGAGUGUGGUAGGGGAGACUGGAAUUCCUGGUGUAGCGGUGAAAUGCGCAGAUAUCAGGAGGAACACCGAUGGCGAAGGCAGGUCUCUGGGCCGAUACUGACGCUGAGGAGCGAAAGCGUGGGGAGCGAACAGG